rnacentral:rRNA from 1 species
GGAAGUAGCUUGCUACUUCGCUGACGAGCGGCGGACGGGUGAGUAAUGCCUGGGAAAUUGCCCUGAUGUGGGGGAUAACCAUUGGAAACGAUGGCUAAUACCGCAUAAUGCCUACGGGCCAAAGAGGGGGACCUUAGGGCCUCUCGCGUCAGGAUAUGCCCAGGUGGGAUUAGCUAGUUGGUGAGGUAAUGGCUCACCAAGGCGACGAUCCCUAGCUGGUCUGAGAGGAUGAUCAGCCACACUGGAACUGAGACACGGUCCAGACUCCUACGGGAGGCAGCAGUGGGGAAUAUUGCACAAUGGGCGCAAGCCUGAUGCAGCCAUGCCGCGUGUAUGAAGAAGGCCUUCGGGUUGUAAAGUACUUUCAGUCGUGAGGAAGGUGGUGUUGUUAAUAGCAGCAUCAUUUGACGUUAGCGACAGAAGAAGCACCGGCUAACUCCGUGCCAGCAGCCGCGGUAAUACGGAGGGUGCGAGCGUUAAUCGGAAUUACUGGGCGUAAAGCGCAUGCAGGUGGUUUGUUAAGUCAGAUGUGAAAGCCCGGGGCUCAACCUCGGAACCGCAUUUGAAACUGGCAGGCUAGAGUACUGUAGAGGGGGGUGGAAUUUCAGGUGUAGCGGUGAAAUGCGUAGAGAUCUGAAGGAACAUCAGUGGCGAAGGCGGCCCCCUGGACAGAUACUGACACUCAGAUGCGAAAGCGUGGGGAGCAAACAGGAUUA